CUGAAUUUGAACUUGAACUUGGAGGUGGUAGUGAGAUGAGUGUUUACUGGUAACUUCCGGUUCUUAAGAAAGAGGUCAGAAAAAACUUUCGAGGAAGCCUGGAGACCAAUCUGGGGCUUCCUUCUGCUCUAAGAGCAGCACAGAGAAGUGAUUACAAUAUAAAUGGAGUUCCAACGAACACACGUAUGUUAUGCUGUCCUUGGUUUAACCGUGGAGAUGUAAGGCAAAAGCUGCUAUGUACAAAAUUAGCCUAAGGAAAACAUCUGAUGCCGAGGGCCAUAGGAUUUUGCCCAAGCCCUUUGUAACCACUGAUGCAGCUGGCUCACUUUUCUAGGCAUUCUGAGGACUACAUACUUGUAAUUCUGUCCAUGGAAGUAGGCCUCAGUUUCUGUGUUCAGAUGCGUCUCCGUGCUUCUCUUCACCAGGCAGCAGGAUACAGAGUGCCACAGAAGUUUGCUUCUAUCUGCUCUGGUUCUUUACGAUUUUGUCUUAAAGUUGAACUCUCAAGAUGGCAUCACUUCCUUUAUGUUGUAAGUUCCUGUUGGGAAUGGAAAAAAGUGUCUCAUUGUGUCCCCUGUGUCUAGACAACAAUAAUCUGGACCAUCAGCUCCAGGAGCUAUGAAGUCUUAUGUCAUAGCUGCAUGCCUUCGUCUUUUCUGAGGUGCACUGCGAAUCAUCUUCAACCGUUAAUGAUCUCAGCACCCAGGCAUGUGAAUUGUGAUUCCUGAAAAAUAAAAUCAGACAGAAUCAUAA
rnacentral:lncRNA from 1 species